rnacentral:rRNA from 1 species
UACGUAGGGGGGCAAGCGUUGUCCGGAAUCAUUGGGCGUAAAGAGCGUGUAGGCGGUCCGGUAAGUCGGCUGUGAAAGUCCAGGGCUCAACCCUGGGAUGCCGGUCGAUACUGCCGGACUAGAGUUCGGAAGAGGCGAGUGGAAUUCCCGGUGUAGCGGUGAAAUGCGCAGAUAUCGGGAGGAACACCUAUGGCGAAGGCAGCUCGCUGGGACGUUACUGACGCUGAGACGCGAAAAGCGUGGGGGGAGCAAAACAGG